UACAGAGGGGGCAAGCGUUAUUCGGAAUUAUUGGGCGUAAAGGGCGCGUAGGCGGCUUUGCAAGUGGCGGGUGAAAUCCCUCGGCUUAACCGAGGAACUGCCUGCCAGACUGCAAGGCUCGAGACCGGGAGAGGUGAGUGGAAUUCCCAGUGUAGCGGUGAAAUGCGUAGAUAUUGGGAGGAACACCAGUGGCGAAGGCGGGUUGCUGGGCUGAUACUGACGCUGAGGCGCGAAAGCCAGGGGAGCGAACGGG
rnacentral:rRNA from 1 species